GGCGCUUUGGCGGAGUGGUUAACGCGAUGGCCUGCUAAUUUAGUUUCCCUCGGGAGCGUGUGUUCGAAUCACACAGGCGUCG